rnacentral:rRNA from 1 species
UACGUAGGGGGCAAGCGUUGUCCGGAUUUAUUGGGCGUAAAGAGCGUGUAGGCGGUUUGGUAGGUCCGUUGUGAAAACUCGAGGCUCAACCUCGAGAUGUCGGCGGAAACCAUCUGGCUAGAGUCCGGAAGAGGAAAGUGGAAUUCCUGGUGUAGCGGUGAAAUGCGCAGAUAUCAGGAAGAACACCCGUGGCGAAGGCGGCUUUCUGGGACGGUACUGACGCUGAGACGCGAAAGCGUGGGGAGCGAACAGG